GAUGAACGCUGGCGGCGCGCCUAACACAUGCAAGUCGAACGAUUAAAGCACCUUCGGGUGUGUAUAAAGUGGCGAACGGCUGAGUAACGCGUGGGCAACCUGCCUUUUACUUUGGGAUAGCCUCGGGAAACCGAGGAUAAUACCGAAUACUUUGUAUGUAUCGCAUGGUAUAUACAAGAAAGCUUUUGCGGUAAAAGAUGGGCCCGCGGCCUGUUAGCUUGUUGGUGAGGUAACGGCUCACCAAGGCAAUGAUGGGUAGCCGGGUUGAGAGACCGACCGGCCAGAUUGGGACUGAGACACGGCCCAGACUCCUACGGGAGGCAGCAGUGGGGAAUCUUGCGCAAUGGGGGAAACCCUGACGCAGCGACGCCGCGUGCGGGAUGAAGGCCUUCGGGUUGUAAACCGCUUUCAGCAGGGACGAGGCCUUAUGGUGACGGUACCUGUAGAAGAAGCUCCGGCUAAAUACGUGCCAGCAGCCGCGGUAAUACGUAUGGAGCAAGCGUUAUCCGGAUUCAUUGGGCGUAAAGCGCUCGUAGGCGGUCUGUUAGGUCGGCAAGUUAAAUCCGGGGGCUCAACCCCCGUCCGCUUCCGAUACCGGCAGACUUGAGUUUGGUAGGGGAAGGUGGAAUUCCUAGUGUAGCGGUGGAAUGCGCAGAUAUUAGGAAGAACACCGGUGGCGAAGGCGGCCUUCUGGGCCAUAACUGACGCUGAGGAGCGAAAGCUAGGGGAGCGAACAGGG
rnacentral:rRNA from 1 species